AUUGAACGCUGGCGGCAGGCUUAACACAUGCAAGUCGAGCGGAGAUGAGGUGCUUGCACCUAUCUUAGCGGCGGACGGGUGAGUAAUGCUUAGGAAUCUGCCUAUUAGUGGGGGACAACAUUCCGAAAGGAAUGCUAAUACCGCAUGCGUCCUACGGGAGAAAGUAGGGGAUCUUCGGACCUUGCGCUAAUAGAUGAGCCUAAGUCGGAUUAGCUAGUUGGUGGGGUAAAGGCCUACCAAGGCGACGAUCUGUAGCGGGUCUGAGAGGAUUGUCCGCCACGCUGGGACUGAGACACGGCCCAGACUCCUACGGGAGGCAGCAGUGGGGAAUAUUGGACAAUGGGGGGAACCCUGAUCCAGCCAUGCCGCGUGUGUGAAGAAGGCCUUAUGGUUGUAAAGCACUUUAAGCGAGGAGGAGGCUACUGAGACUAAUACUCUUGGAUAGUGGACGUUACUCGCAGAAUAAGCACCGGCUAACUCUGUGCCAGCCGCCGCCGUAAUAC
rnacentral:rRNA from 1 species